rnacentral:rRNA from 1 species
UACGAAGGGGGCUAGCGUUGCUCGGAAUCACUGGGCGUAAAGCGCACGUAGGCGGCUUGUUAAGUCAGGGGUGAAAUCCUGGAGCUCAACUCCAGAACUGCCUUUGAUACUGGCGAGCUUGAGUUCGGGAGAGGUGAGUGGAACUGCGAGUGUAGAGGUGAAAUUCGUAGAUAUUCGCAAGAACACCAGUGGCGAAGGCGGCUCACUGGCCCGAUACUGACGCUGAUGAGCGAAAGCCAGGGGAGCAAACGGG